GACAGAGGGUGCAAACGUUGUUCGGAAUUACUGGGCGUAAAGCGUGCGUAGACGGUUAUGUAAGUCGGGUGUGAAAGCCCCGGGCUCAACCUGGGAAUUGCAUUCGAGACUGCAUAGCUAGGGUGCGGAAGAGGGAAGCGGAAUUUCCGGUGUAGCGGUGAAAUGCGUAGAUAUCGGAAGGAACACCAGUGGCGAAAAGCGGCUUCCUGGUCCAGCACCGACGUCAGGCACGAAAGCGUGGGGAGCAAACAGG
rnacentral:rRNA from 1 species